AUUUUGGCCAUUGUAGUAGUUAGAUUCCUUUCAGUUGCAACUAACGAGAAACUUAAUUCAACUGAUAGGUAACUGUGGUUGAGAGGCAGCAUGGGCUCCAGCCAUGAGAAGACCAGGAGCUUGUCCUGUUUCUCCGCUCUUGUCUUGGUUCUUUUCUCUGCAUUGUUUUUAUUCUCAGGCUGGCUUCUCCCCUUGUGUUAAUAUGAUUGCCAGCAAUAAUCCAAGGAGGCAUGCUUCCUCGGUCAUGUCCAGAAGAAAAUAGCUCUUCUUCAAUAUGUAAGACACCUUAAUUAUUACCAAAUAUCUAUUCUUCCUUGUGACAGCUGAUUUUAUGUGUCAACUUGACUAGGCUAAGGGAUGCCCAGAUGUCUGGUAAAAUGUGUGUCUUCUGGAAACACCCAUUGGAAGAGAUUAGCAUUUGAAUCAGCAGACUGAGUAAAGCAAAGAAUCCUCACCCAAUCAGGUGGACCUCAUUCAAUCUGCUGAGGGCCUGAUUACAGCAAAAAGGAGGGGGAGGGGAAAUUUGCUCUCUGCCUGAGCUGAGUGCCCCAGACAUCAGUGCUCCUGGUUGUGGGGCCUUACAACUUGGACCAGGACUUACAAGGUUGUGCCUCCCUGCACCCUGCCACCUUCUUGGGCUUUUGGACUGCUGAUGGGACUUAUGUCAUUGACUCCUCUGGUUCUGAAGCUUUCAGACUUGUACUGAACUAAAGCAUUGGCUUUCCUUGUUCUCCGGCUUGUGGAUGGCAGUUCAUGGGACACUGUGACUUCCAUAAUCACAAUAUAGCUGCUACAGCUUCACCUGCCACUUGCCUGUAAAGCAGGAAGAAGGAGGAAUGAAAGGUGCAGAUUCGCUGUUAUUUUUGUCAGCUACAACUAUGAUAUGUGGCCACACCUGGCACCAGAAGAUGUGCAGAGAAAAGGGUUAGGGCCAAAGUGAUACAACUAAGGAUUGUUGGAAGAUGGCUGGAGUCAGACUUUACUGGAAACAUAUUCCUUUUCAAAAGGAUUUUUCCAGUUCACAGUGCCCUUGGCAGCACCUUCAUCAUACUUUCAUCACAGCCUUGGCAGCAUGCUUUGACCACUAAUGAAGAUGAACAUUGCUAUUCCAUAACUUUUUUCUGAAAAUUUUGUUUAUAUUCUUUUUAAAAGUUUUCUUAGACAUUUAAACAUGCUCUUCAAAAAUUAAAGGUAUUAACUCUUGAUCACAUCUGUUACCUGUUUCCCUUUUUCCUUUGAAAGUUCCCAUUUUUGGAGACAUUUAGAGAUCUUUGUAUAAUUGUUUUGUGUAGCUAACUAUAGAUACUUGAUUUCUGCAGGACCACAGCUUAGCCCUUUUUGUGAAUUGAGAAGGUCCUCUUUUUGCAAGACAUUUUAUUUACAUCUGAUAGAAUAUUAUCCACUCAUAAUGGUUUUGUUAGAAUAAGUCACCGGAGCACCCAUCUUUUAGAAAUUUUUCUGAAUAAGUACACAAUUCUACUAUUUUUGUAUGUGAAUGGUGCUUCCAUAGAUAUGCAUUUAAGCUCCCUCCAACUGAGCAUACAUGCAUAGCUUCCAAAAAGUCAGAAGAUUCAUGCAAAUGGUUAAGUUGCAACAAAAGGAAGAUUAUUAAGAAUUGGGCUCUGCAGGAGACUAAAAAUAAGGCAUAAUUGCCUUCGGAAUCAAUUAAAGUCAUUAAAAAGGUGUCUGUUCAAAGAUUGACUACUUUGAAUUGAUUAAAGAUAAAUUUAAGAUUAUAUUGCAGUUACUGACAGUAAUAACAGCAUAUGGGAUGAUCCAACUGAAAUUUAAAAGGGAAGUAAAUUAUGUAUACUAUGAAUUUAUGUAUUUUAAUUAAAAAACUUUUUUAAAACUAAGUUUAUUUAAAAAUGUACUUGAAAAUUAAUUCUGAGUAAGCACAGUGAAGGUGAAAGAAAACUAUAUACUAAGUUUUUAUUGUUAUUUCUUUUGUUAAUUGUAUAAUUUUUGAAAAUCAUUCAAUUUCUAUAAGCCUCAGUUUCUCCAUCUAUAAAAUGGAGACAAUGACAUUGACCCUAUACAACUUCAGUUCAGUUCAGUUGCUCACUUGUGUCCUGAGACCUCAUGUCU
ensembl:lncRNA